rnacentral:rRNA from 1 species
GCAGAGGGAGCCUGAGAAAUAGCUACCACAUCCAAGGAAGGCAGCAGGCGCGCAAAUUACCCACUCCCGAAACGGGGAGGUAGUGACGAUAAAUAACGAUGCGGGACUCAAUCGAGGCCCCGUAAUUGGAAUGAGUACACUUUAAAUCCUUUAACGAGGAUCAAUUGGAGGGCAAGUCUGGUGCCAGCAGCCGCGGUAAUUCCAGCUCCAAUAGCGUAUAUUAAAGUUGUUGCAGUUAAAAAGCUCGUAGUUGGAUCUCAGGAUUUGGAUGGAUGGUUCGCUUUCGGGCGCUACUAUCUGUCUGACCUACUCUAGUCGUGGAUGCCUUGGGUGCUCUUAAUUGAGUGCUUUUGGUGCCCGACGCAAUUACUUUGAAAAAAUUAGAGUGCUCAAAGCAGGCGUAUUGCCUGAAUAGUGUUGCAUGGAAUAAUGAAAUAGGAGUUUACUUCUAUUUUGUUGGUUUUCGGAGGUGAACUAAUGAUUAACAGGGACAGACGGGGGCACUUGUAUGGAGGGGUUAGAGGUGAAAUUCUUGGAUCCUCUCCAGACAAACUACUGCGAAAGCAUUUGCCAGGAAUGUUUUCACUAAUCAAGAACGAAAGUCAGAGGUUCGAAGACGAUCAGAUACCGUCCUAGUUCUGACCAUAAAUGAUGCCAUCUAACAAUCCACGAAGUUUGCUUGUACGAACUCGUGGGCGGUCCCCGGGAAACCAAAGAUUUUGGGUUCCGGGGGAAGUAUGGUUGCAAAGCUGAAACUUAAAGGAAUUGACGGAAGGGCACCACCAGGAGUGGAGCCUGCGGCUUAAUUUGACCCAACACGGGAAACCUCACCCGGCCCGGACACUUUUAGGAUUGACAGAUUGAAGGCUCUUUCUUGAUCAAGUGGUUGGUGGUGCAUGGCCGUUCUUAUUUGGUGGAGCGAUUUGUCUGGUUAAUUCCGAUAACGAACGAGACUCUACUCUGCUAAAUAGAACGUUGAUAUAUAAAAGUCAGUGCUGACUUCUUAGAGAGACUAACGGCGUUUAGCCGUGUGAGAAAGAGCAAUAACAGGUCUGUGAUGCCCUUAGAUGUCCGGGGCCGCACGCGCGCUACACUGACUGCAGCAACUAGUAUGCUCCUGGUUUGAAAAAACUGGGUAACCUGGUUGAAUUGCAGGCGUGACAGGGAUCAGAGUUUGCAAUUAUCCUCUGUGAACGAGGAAUUCCCAGUAAGCGCAAGUCAUUAGCUUGUGCUGAUUACGUCCCUGCCCUUUGUACACACCGCCCGUCGCUACUACCGAUUGAAUGGUUUAGUGAGGUCUUCGGAUUGGUGCUGAUGGAGUGGUUCUCUGCUCUGUUAGUGCCGAGAAGAUGAUCAAACUUGAUCAUUUAGAGGAAGUAAAAGUCGUAACAAGGUU